UAACUUAAUAACACAAGGUCUUGGUCUUAAACCUCUUAUUAUCUCAACUCUAUACUUAUACAUGCAAGCCUCAACAUAACAGUGAAACAGCCCACCACAACCCAACUUAGAGCCGGUAUCAGGACAACUACCCACGACACCAAGCAAUUAAGCCACACCCCCACGGGCCCGCAGCAGUAGUCAAUAUUGGGCCAUAAGCGUAAGCUUGACCCAAUAACAGAGUUCCCAACGGGCCGGUCAAUCUCGUGCCAGCGACCGCGGUUACACGACAGACCCAAGAUAAUACCCCUCGGCGUAAAGCACGACUAAAAUCCUUGAGUUCUUCUCCUUAGGGUUAAAGCCAAUCUGGGCUGUAAAAAGCCACAAGCCGCACUAAACACUAAACCCUAAUACAUAAACACCUUCAACUCGUGAAAGCCAGGACACAAACUAAGAUUAGAUACCUUACUAUGCCUGACCCUAACAAAACAAUUAAAUAACUAAUUGUUCGCCAAAUAACUACGAGUUAAAACUUAAAAUUUAAAAGACUUGACGGUACUUCACACCAACCUAGAGGAGCCUGUCUAAUAACCGAUGAUCCACGAUUAACCCAACCAACCAUAGCCUUACAGUCUAUAUACCGCCGUCGCCAGCUUACCUUGUGAAAGAAAUAAAGUAAGCCCCACAAUACCCCCUUAACACGACAGGUCGAGGUGUAACUGAUGGGUUGGACCAAGAUGGGCUACAAUUUCUCAGCCAGAAAAGACGAACAGACUAUGAAACUAGAAACUGAAGGUGGAUUUAGCAGUAAGAUGGGAAUAGAUAUACCCAACCGAAAUUAACGCAAUGAAGUGCGCACACACCGCCCGUCAUCCCUGCAAAACACACAAUCUUUAUAUAAACAACUACACCCUAAUCAAAGCAGGGCAAGUCGUAACAUGGUAAGCGUACUGGAAAGUGUGCUUAG
rnacentral:ncRNA from 1 species